rnacentral:rRNA from 1 species
UACGGAGGAUGCAAGCGUUAUCCGGAAUGAUUGGGCGUAAAGCGUCCGCAGGUGGCAAUGUAAGUCUGCUGUUAAAGAGUCUAGCUCAACUAGAUACAAGCAGUGGAAACUACAUAGCUAGAGUACGUUCGGGGCAGAGGGAAUUCCUGGUGUAGCGGUGAAAUGCGUUGAGAUCGGAAGGAACGCCCGUGGCGAAAGCGAGGUCCUGGACGUCUACUGACGCUGAGACGCGAAAGCUAGGGGAGCGAACGGG